UACGAAGGGGGGCUAGCGUUGCUCGGAAUGACUGGGCGUAAAGGGCGCGUAGGCGGACGGCUUUGUCGGGCGUGAAAUUCCAGGGCUUAACCUUGGGGCUGCGUUCGAGACGGGUUGUCUAGAGUUUGGAAGAGGGUCGUGGAAUUCCCAGUGUAGAGGUGAAAUUCGUAGAUAUUGGGAAGAACACCGGUGGCGAAGGCGGCGACCUGGUCCUUGACUGACGCUGAGGCGCGAAAGCGUGGGGGAGCAAACAGG
rnacentral:rRNA from 1 species